GAUGAACGCUAGCGGCAGGCCUAAUACAUGCAAGUCAAGGGGCCAGCAAUGGCACCGGCGCACGGGUGCGUAACACGUACACAACAUACCUUUAAGUGGGAGAUAGCAUCGGGAAACUGGUGGUAAUACCCCAUAAUAUUGCGAUGCGGCAUCACAUUGCAAUUAAAGUUUCGACGCUUAAAGAUUGGUGUGCGUCCGAUUAGCUAGUUGGCGGGGUAACGGCCCACCAAGGCUACGAUCGGUAGGGGGUGUGAGAGCAUGACCCCCCCACAUGGGUACUGAGACACGGACCCAACUCCUACGGGAGGCAGCAGUAAGGAAUAUUGGACAAUGGACGAAAGUCUGAUCCAGCCAUGCCGCGUGCAGGAUGAAGGCGCUCAGCGCUGUAAACUGCUUUUGGAUGGGAAUAAUAACCUCGACGUGUCGGGGCGUUGAAGGUACCAUCAGAAUAAGCACCGGCUAACUCCGUGCCAGCAGCCGCGGUAAUGU
rnacentral:rRNA from 1 species